UGAAGAAUGGAGAAUCAUUCUUUCUUCUUUCUUUGAAUCUGUCCUCAACUCCUAUCAUAUUCCCUCUGCACAGUACUCAACCACAAAUAUAUUUAUAUUUUUUAUUUUAAUUAUUAAAUCAAUCUUCAUUUCCCCUUAUCGCCUCCUGCUCAGUUAGUAUGCCUUUUUUGGAACAGAUGGGCCAUUUUUGAUGUGGCUCUCUCUAUCAACCAAAACUCUUUCAAUUAAUAUGUUAAAUUGCAUAUGAAUUUCGAAAGAUAGAGGAUGAUUCGAUCCAGUGGUGAUCAGCAGAAGCCAUCUUCAUAACUUUCAAUCAGUAAAAUUUCGGUUCAGGAAGUUGAUGGGGUUUUGUUCCCGGUAGAAGAGACGACGACUACGAAAUCGGAACGCUGUACUGUAAAACCGAAAAGAGAUUAAAGAGUUGGGAGAUAGGCCGGGGAACAUAAACCAUGGUCUCAGUUGUUGAAAGUAAGGAAAGAUUUAAGAUUGUAAGAAGAAGAGAAGAAUGUGAGAAAGAAUGUAAAAGUUGUUAAUUUUGUUUAUGAGAAGAGUGACGAAAAUAAAAGAAUAUUUUAGUCAAAUCAAAGUCAUAAAAAUCAACUUUGGGAUGUUUGAUUGUGAUGCCAACUGUCAUAUUGUUUUCAAGCGUGGUUUACAGCUCAUGCCUUUAAAAAAGAAAAAAUGAAUAAUAGAGAAUCAUUCAUUCUUUCUUUGUACCACUGGCCCUCAGCUCCUAUCAUAUCCUUUGUAUCGGGGGUUCCACCCAUCUAUUCUGUCUACCCAACCCUUGAUCAUUAAUAUAUUUAUAUUUUUUAUUUUCCUCCUCCGUACUAAACUCAAUCAGUAUACUUUUUUUUAAUAGAUGGGCCAUUAUUUGAUGUGGCUCUCGCUACCAACCAAACUACUGAUAGCCCCAAUUCGAUCAAUUAGUAGGUUAAUUUUGCAUCUGAAUUUGAAAAGACAGAGGAUGAUUCGAUCCAGUGGUGAUCAGCAGAAGCCAUAUUCAUAACUUUCAAUCAGUAAAAUUUCGGUUCAGGAAGUUGAUGGGGUUUUGUUCCCGGUAGAAGAGACGACGACUGCAAAAUCGGAACGUUGUACUGUAAAACCGACCGAAAAGAGCUUCUUCGUUUUCUGCCUUGAUUAAGAGAUAAAUCUUGCAAACGUCGAGUGCUGCUCGUAAUAGCUUCUCAAUUAUGGCUGAAAAAUUAAAAAAACAUAGAAUCUUAUAUAACAAAUCUUAUAUACAAAAUUCUACGUAAUUUUAUUGCCUAAUUUACCUUUGCCUAGGAAACCAGUGGCACCAGUAACGAAAUAGUUCUUGGCAGGAAGAAACUCAAGAAUGCCAAUGCCAUUCUUACAAGUUCUCUCUAUUUUAUUCUGUGCUUCAAUGGAGAAAGAGCUCAUGGCUUCAAUGAAAGAAGAGCUUACACUGACAGUAAGGAAACAGAAGAGCUUUAUUGGCAAGUGAAAAUGGAGGCACAUUCUUAUAUAUAUUACUACUAAUGGCAUUUAAUACCAAGUUGGUUGGCAGAGAAACAUACACCGGCCGGCCUCUGUGCGCAUUAAUUAUUUGUCACAAUAGCCAUUGUUGAACUUGUGAUGGAAAACUAAACCAAGUGGGCUUCACCAAAACUUCCGGUGAGAUAAUUUAUAAAUAAAUAAUGAUGUAAUAUUAAGUAAUUUAGUAUUAUUUAAUUUAAAAUUAUACAAUUAUAUGAGGGUGUAAUAAUGGUGAGCUUUUGGGGUUGAGAGUCUCUACGACGUUUUGUAUAUUAACAUAUGCUACACAAGAAAAAAUUGAUUAGCCUAAAUAAAUAAACUACAUUAUUUUCUACU